UACGUAGGCGGCAAGCGUUGUCCGGAAUUAUUGGGCGUAAAGCGCGCGCAGGCGGCUCCUUAAGUCUGAUGUGAAAGCCCACGGCUCAACCGUGGAGGGUCAUUGGAAACUGGGGAACUUGAAGACAGAAGAGGAGAGCGGAAUUCCACGUGUAGCGGUGAAAUGCGUAGAUAUGUGGAGGAACACCAGUGGCGAAGGCGGCUCUCUGGUCUGUGCUUGACGCUGAGGCGCGAAAGCGUGGGGAGCGAAC
rnacentral:rRNA from 1 species